rnacentral:sRNA from 1 species
GGUCGAAGCUGAUGCCGAUCCAGGCCCAGGAUCCACUCCAGCCCAGAGCCUUCACUGGAUCGGUACUCCUUGAACGAUGGUUUGGAUGGGGUUCCUUGGUGCGCUUAGUUGGUUUGGCUGGUGUUGCCUUUCGUCCACGCCUUUUCUGGGGAGUAACAGACGCCUGCAUAGGUGGUAUGUGAGCCGCUCCCUUCAAAGAAUAAGAGCAUUUAGGAGAAGUAAGCAAGGAGCUUUGCAGCGGCUUUCUUCCACGAUUGGAAGUAUUUGGAGUAUUCGCUUGCGAUGAGGACCAAUUUCUUCCAAAAGAAGAAUGCUGCUGAUGUUAACGGUGUCGAACAACUCUUCUGCUGUGACUCUACCACAUGGCA